UCUCUCGUAGCUUAGUAGUCAGAGCAUUGGUGCUUAAAGCCAAAGGUCCCGGGUUCGAUUCCCAGCGAGGGCG
rnacentral:tRNA from 1 species